GCGAAAGUAGCUCAGUUGGUAGAGCGCAACCUUGCCAAGGUUGAGGUCGCGAGUUCGAACCUCGUCUUUCGCUCCG
rnacentral:tRNA from 4 species